GUGGCGGAUAGCUCAGUAACACGUGGCCAAACUGCCCUACAGAUCGGCAUAACCUCGGGAAACUGAGGCUAAUUCCGAAUACGGCUCUCAUGCUGGAGUUGCAGAGAGCUGGAAACGCUUCGGUGCUGUAGGAUGUGGCUGCGGCCGAUUAGGUAGACGGUGGGGUAAUGGCCCACCGUGCCGAUAAUCGGUACGGGUCGUGAGAGCGAGAACCCGGAGACGGUAUCUGAGACAAGAUACCGGGCCCUACGGGGCGCAGCAGGCGCGAAACCUUUACACUGCACGACAGUGCGAUAGGGGGACUCCGAGUGCGAGGGCAUAUAGUCCUCGCUUUUGUACACCGUAAGGUGGUGU
rnacentral:rRNA from 1 species